CUACGGGAUGCACCAGUCGAGAAUAGUCUACAAUGGACGAAAGUCUGAUAGUGCGACGCCGCGUGGAUGAAGAAGCAUUUCGGUGUGUAAAGUCCUUUUCUGUGUGAGCAAUGUUUUCCAGGUUAAUAGCUUGGAGAAAGCGAUAUUAACACAGGAAUAAGCUCCGGCUAUCUCCGUGCCAGCAGCCGCGGUAACACGGGGGGAGCAAGCGUUGUCCGGAAUUACUAGGCGUAAAGGGUAAGUAGGCGGAAUUGUAAGUCAGAUGUUAAAGGCACCGGCUCAACCGGUGUAUGGCAUUUGAUACUGUAAUUCUAGAGUAAGGUGGGGGAAGACGGAAUUCCUGGUGUAGCGGUGGAAUGCGCAGAUAUCAGGAGGAACACCAGAGGCGCAGGCGGUCUUCUAUACCAUUACUGACGCUCAAUUACGAAGGUGUGGGUAUCAAACAGGAUUAGAUACCCCCGUAGUC
rnacentral:rRNA from 1 species